ensembl:snRNA U2 U2 spliceosomal RNA
AUCGCUCGGCCUUUUGGCUAAGAUCAAGUGUAGUAUCUGUUCUUAUCAGUUUAAUAUCUGAUACGCCCCCGAUUCGGGGGCAACGUAUUAAACGCAUUUUUAGAACAGGGAGCUGAAUAAGGGGCUCGCUCCGUUCGCUCCACGCAUCGACCCGGUAUUGCAGCGCCUCCGGGAACGGUGCCCCCUUU